AUACGGAGGGGGCUAGCGUUGUUCGGAAUUACUGGGCGUAAAGGGCGUGUAGGCGGCUUUGCCAGUCAGGCGUGAAAGCCCCGGGCUUAACCUGGGAAUUGCGUUUGAUACUGCGAGGCUAGAGUUCGGGAGAGGAGUGUGGAAUUCCCAGUGUAGCGGUGAAAUGCGUAGAUAUUGGGAGGAACACCGGUGGCGAAGGCGGCACUCUGGACCGAAACUGACGCUGAGGCGCGAAAGCUAGGGGAGCAAACGGGAUUAGAUACCCCAGUAGUCC
rnacentral:rRNA from 1 species